GGCGUAUACAACGAGUUGCCAACCCGCGAGGGUGAGCUAAUCUCUUAAAGUACGUCUCAGUUCGGAUUGUAGGCUGCAACUCGCCUACAUGAAGUCGGAAUCGCUAGUAAUCGCGGAUCAGCACGCCGCGGUGAAUACGUUCCCGGGUCUUGUACACACCGCCCGUCACACCAUGAGAGUUUGUAACACCCAAAGCCGGUGGGGUAACCUUCGGGAGCCAGCCGUCUAAGGUGGGACAGAUGAUUAGGGUGAAGUCGUAACAAGGUAGCCGUAGGAGAACCUGCGGCUGGAUCACCUCCUUUCUAAGGAA
rnacentral:rRNA from 1 species